rnacentral:rRNA from 1 species
CGAGGAUUAACGACGUGGAAACGGUCGCUAAAACUGGAUAGGAUUAUUUGAGGCAUACUCGAAGUGAUUUAAAGGGGCUUUCAAGCCACACUUAGAGAAAGGCCUGCGGCGCAAUUAGCUAGGUUGGGUAGGGGUACGAGGCCUACCAAGGCGAUGAUGCGUAGCCGGACUGAGAGGUCGAACGGCCACAUUGGGGCUGAGACACGGCCCAAACUCCUACGGGAGGCAGCAGUAGGGAAUUUUCGGCAAUGGGGGAAACCCUGACCGAGCAACGCCGCGUGAAUGAAAAGACGUAUUUCGGUAUGUAAAGUUCUUUUAUUAAGGAAGAAUUAUCACGGAUAGGAAAUGAUCUGUGAGUGACGGUACUUAAUGAAUAAGCCCCGGCUAACUAUGUGCCAGCCGCCGC